UAGAGUUUGAUCCUGGCUCAGAGCGAACGCUGGCGGCAGGCUUAACACAUGCAAGUCGAACGGGCUUCUUCGGAAGUCAGUGGCAGACGGGUGAGUAACACGUGGGAACGUGCCCUUCGGUUCGGAAUAACUCAGGGAAACUUGAGCUAAUACCGGAUACGCCCUUAUGGGGAAAGGUUUACUGCCGAAGGAUCGGCCCGCGUCUGAUUAGCUUGUUGGUGGGGUAACGGCCUACCAAGGCGACGAUCAGUAGCUGGUCUGAGAGGAUGAUCAGCCACACUGGGACUGAGACACGGCCCAGACUCCUACGGGAGGCUAGCAGAAGGG
rnacentral:rRNA from 1 species